GACGAACGCUGGCGGCGUGCCUAACACAUGCAAGUCGAACGGAGAUAUGAUUUCGGUUGUAUCUUAGUGGCGAACGGGUGAGUAACGCGUGAGCAACCUGACUCUUAGAGGGGGAUAACACUCGGAAACGGGUGCUAAUACCGCAUAAGACCACGACAUGGCAUCAUGACGAGGUCAAAGGAGCAAUCCGCUGAGAGAGGGGCUCGCGUCCCAUUAGAUAGAUGGCGGGGUAACGGCCCACCAUGUCAACGAUGGGUAGCCGAGCUGAGAGGCUGAUCGGCCACACUGGAACUGAGACACGGUCCAGACUCCUACGGGAGGCAGCAGUGGGGAAUAUUGGGCAAUGGGCGCAAGCCUGAUCCAGCCAUUCCGCGUGCAGGAUGAAGGCCUCGGUUGUAACUAGCUUUGUACGGACGAAACGGUACUGCCUAAUACGGCGGGCGUAAUGACGGUACCGUAAGAAUAAGACACCGGCUAACUACGUGCCAGC
rnacentral:rRNA from 1 species